AUAUUUUGAAUUAAGUAUAUUCAUAAUAUGUUAUCAGACGAAUGUUGUUAAAGAUAUAGGUUGAUAUUUGUGAAGGGAAAGAGUUGCCUCUCUCCCAACAAACAUUGCACACAAGGUGGAUAUGGAUUUUUAAAGAGUGCCAUAAAACACUCAUUGUGAAUGAUCCUUCCGCAGGUUCACCUACGGAAA
rnacentral:misc_RNA from 1 species